rnacentral:rRNA from 1 species
GAUGAACGCUGGCGGCGUGCUUAACACAUGCAAGUCGAACGGAAAGGCCCAAGCUUGCUUGGGUACUCGAGUGGCGAACGGGUGAGUAACACGUGGGUGAUCUGCCCUGCACUUUGGGAUAAGCCUGGGAAACUGGGUCUAAUAUCGGAUAGGACCACAUCUUGGAGGGUGUGGUGGAAAGUUUGUCGGUGUGGGAUGAGCUCGCGGCCUAUCAGCUUGUUGGUGGGGUAAUGGCCUACCAAGGCGUCGACGGGUAGCCGGCCGGCGAGGGUGUACGGCCACAUUGGAACUGAGAUACGGCCCAGACUCCUACGGGAGGCAGCAGUGGGGCAUAUUGCACACUGGGAGACAGCCUGAUGCAGCGACGCCGCGUGGGUGAUGACGGCCUUCGGGUUGUAAACUCCUUUCGCUAGGGACGAAGCGUUUUUGUGACGGUACCUGGAGAAGAAGCACCGGCUAACUACGUG